AAUUUAGAGAGAGAGAGGGUUCUCCUUCUCUCUAGAAAUCUUCUCUAGAUCUGCAAUUAUUUUGAGAGUCCACCACCACUCCCACCCCACCCGCCACCACCUCCACCACUGCCCCCAUCACCUUCACCUCCAUCUCCACCUUCACCCAAUCUCUUUUCUCGACCAGAUCUGCUCACUUCAUCAUUUACCACCUUCCUCUCUUUCCUCAUCUGAGAUUUCCAGUGAUGGAAAACUCCAUAUUCACCACCAUCUUCACCUCCUCUCCAUCCCACGUUUUCUCAUUCUCCACAGACCAAAUCUCCUCUCGAGUCACCAAUUUUUUCUCUCUGAGUUCUACCCCCAAAUCUGUUCAAGCUUUCUUUGGACGGGAUUGACUAUGGUUGCUUCCAGAUCUGCUGACUUCUCCACCACAUCUAGGCAAGCUUUCGCCCGUUGGCGGAUUUUUGUCCACUUUAAAGAGGUGGAGGAGGUGGCAUGAUUUGGUUCUACGAUGGUGGCUUCUGUUCAUGGAGCGGCAUGAAUGCAGCGGUGGUAUUUCUUUGCGGCAGCAGAUUCGGUGGCUGUUUGAUAGGAUUAGGGUUUGUAAUUUUUCUUUGGGCUUUUGGCAGGUAGCUGGGUUUGACCCAUUGUGGGUUUUAUUUUAUGUUUGCUGGGCCUAUGUGCCUCUUUAUCUGGGCCUAUGUGCCUCUUUUGUUGGGGUCUUAUCACUCUUAUGUACCUCUUGUAUUUUGCUUGAUCCUUUGGAUCUUCUAAUACAAUUGACCCAAAAAAAAAAGUGAUAAAAUAAUA